rnacentral:rRNA from 1 species
GUGGGGAAUAUUGGACAAUGGGGGGAACCCUGAUCCAGCCAUGCCGCGUGUGUGAAGAAGGCCUUUUGGUUGUAAAGCACUUUAAGCGAGGAGGAGGCUCUUCUAGUUAAUACCUAGGAUGAGUGGACGUUACUCGCAGAAUAAGCACCGGCUAACUCUGUGCCAGCAGCCGCGGUAAUACAGAGGGUGCGAGCGUUAAUCGGAUUUACUGGGCGUAAAGCGUACGUAGGCGGCUUUUUAAGUCGGAUGUGAAAUCCCUGAGCUUAACUUAGGAAUUGCAUUCGAUACUGGGAAGCUAGAGUAUGGGAGAGGAUGGUAGAAUUCCAGGUGUAGCGGUGAAAUGCGUAGAGAUCUGGAGGAAUACCGAUGGCGAAGGCAGCCAUCUGGCCUAAUACUGACACUGAGGUGCGAAAGCAUGGGGAGCAAACAGGAUUAGAAACCCUGGUAGUCC